rnacentral:rRNA from 2 species
UAAGGUGAUUAUAGCAAUGGGGCUCACCUCUUACCAUUCCGAACAGAGAAGUUAAGCCCAUUAGCGCCGAUGGUACUGCCAAUGGUGGGAGAGUAGGUCGUCGCCUUUC